rnacentral:rRNA from 1 species
AAAUUGAAGAGUUUGAUCAUGGCUCAGAUUGAACGCUGGCGGCAGGCCUAACACAUGCAAGUCGAACGGUAACAGGAAGCAGCUUGCUGCUUCGCUGACGAGUGGCGGACGGGUGAGUAAUGUCUGGGAAACUGCCUGAUGGAGGGGGAUAACUACUGGAAACGGUGGCUAAUACCGCAUAACGUCGCAAGACCAAAGAGGGGGACCUUCGGGCCUCUUGCCAUCAGAUGUGCCCAGAUGGGAUUAGCUUGUUGGUGAGGUAACGGCUCACCAAGGCGACGAUCCCUAGCUGGUCUGAGAGGAUGACCAGCCACACUGGAACUGAGACACGGUCCAGACUCCUACGGGAGGCAGCAGUGGGGAAUAUUGCACAAUGGGCGCAAGCCUGAUGCAGCCAUGCCGCGUGUAUGAAGAAGGCCUUCGGGUUGUAAAGUACUUUCAGCGGGGAGGAAGGUGUUGCGGUUAAUAACCGCAGCAAUUGACGUUACCCGCAGAAGAAGCACCGGCUAACUCCGUGCCAGCAGCCGCGGUAAUACGGAGGGUGCAAGCGUUAAUCGGAAUUACUGGGCGUAAAGCGCACGCAGGCGGUCUGUCAAGUCGGAUGUGAAA